rnacentral:lncRNA from 1 species
UCUGACCUUACCUGGUUCUCAACUGAGUCCUCAGUCUUGUGCCCUGCCUGGGCACAUGGAAGUCAUCCAUAAAUACUUGUUGGUGAGACUCUUUCAAGUCACAGGUUCAUCUUAAGAAAGUGAAAGCCUCUCUCUCAGGUUCCUAAGUUAAUGUUUCAUCUUCUGUUUAAAAUAAUUCAUUAGGGUGGUUCAGCCGGCUGUCACUAUCCUGACAGUAGGCAGGAAUGCAAAAUCCACUUUUUAAAAUAGCCUCAUUGGUAGAGGAAUAUUGGCCUCACCUAACACCCAUUUGGGCUAUCCUGGCUGGAAAUGCACUGGCCCACAUCUUUAUUUGCAUCCUCCAGGAUUACAGGACAGUCUCAUUUUUCAGGUGGCAUCAUCACGGCUCAUAAAUUGAACAACACUUCCAUUAGAUUGCGCUAGGCAUCAUCUUCAAAACUCUAACAUCUGGAUGUUUCCAAAUAGCCUGCUAUGUAGAUGAUUGAUGGCUUUCAUUCUUGGUUGGAUUCUGAUAUAGGCCAUAGCUGUUGGGAUUGGAAUUGGUGGUCCUGAUGUGCCAGUAUGUGAUCAACUGAUCGAUAACAUGGGUGGCCAUGCAGUGAGGCCCAAGAGUGUGGGCCACCUGAGAGGUCAACUGCUGCUCUGUCCAUGGUAUUUGGUGCUUCAUUCACAAGUUUAGAGAAAGAUUUCAAAGCUUUACUUGUGUGUCUAUCGAUACAUGACAGUCUGUUGCCAAGAUACAAUGCUUAAACUGUUUGGGUGGCCCGGGAAUACUUUCACAUCUUCCUAAGAAGGGGGAUGAACGCCCCCUCAAGACUUCCUACAAAGACAAGAGAGCACGACGCUCUGAGUUGCUACUGAAUGAUUGAUGUGGUCUUGUUUGUACAUGUGCUUCUAUGUUUUCUAAUGUGUAUUUAAUGAAGCUUCCCAUGUGCCAGGUAUCUUCAAAGCCCUAGAGACAUGGUGGUCAAUGUGGGUGGCCAGGCCCCAGCUCUUGUGCAGCUUACAUCAAGAAGGGUUUAUGAGGAGUAAAUCAAAAGAAAAAAAUAUAAGGGUCAGGUAAAGAAUUAAAAUCAAACAUAAGAUGGGUGACUAGGGGUUGUUGAGGUACCUGUUGUAGAGGGAUAGUCAGGGAAGGAAAUUUUUUUUUUUCGAGAUGGAGUCUUGCUCUUUCGCCCAGGCCGGACUGCAAGUGGCACUGUCUCGGCUCACUGCAAGCUCUGCCUCCCGGGUUCACGCCAUUCUCCUGCCUCAGCCUCCCAAGUAGCUGGGACUACAGGCACCCACCACCACGCCCAGCUAAUUUUUUUGUAUUUUUAGUAGAGACGGGGUUUCACCAUGUUAGCCAGGAUGGUCUCGAUCUCGUGACCUCAUGAUCCACCCACCUCGGCCUCCCAAAGUGCAGAAGGAAGGAACUUUUUUAAAAAAAUGAACCUUCUGUGUUCCUGAGUUGGAUAAUUUCAAACAUAUCCACAAGUAGAGCAUGAACCAGCAGACCCCAUGAACCCAUCAUCUGUGUUCCUGAGUUGGAUAAUUUCAAACAUAUCCACAAGUAGAGUAUGAACCAGCAGACCCCAUGAACCCAUCAUCCAUCCUCGGCAGAUACCCACUCACAGCCAGUCCUGUUUCAUCUAUACACUACCCCUCACUCCCUGCUUCCGUUUACUCAAUUAUUUUCAAACAAAUCUUGGUUAUAUCAUUUCAUCCCUAUUUCUUUCUCUCUCUCUCUCUCUGUCUGUCUCUGUCUCUGUCUCUCUCUCUCUCUGUCUCUGUCACCCAAGUUGGAGUGCAGUAGCGCGAUCAUAGCUCUUUACAGCCUUGAUCUUCCAGGCUCAAGCCAUCCUCCUGCCUCAGUCUCCUGAGUAGCUGGGACUACAGGCACGCACCAUCAUGCCUGGCUAAAUUUUUUUUUUUUUUUUUUUUUUUUUUUAGUAGAGAUGAGAUUUUGCCGUGUUGUCCAAGUUGGUCUUGAAUUCCUGAGCUCAAGCAAUCCUCCCACUCCGACCUCCCAAAGCACUGGGAUUACAGGUGU